rnacentral:rRNA from 1 species
CAGCCGCCGCGGUAAUACGUAGGGUGCAAGCGUUAAUCGGAAUUACUGGGCAUAAAGCGUGCGCAGGCGGUUCGGAAAGAAAGAUGUGAAAUCCCAGAGCUUAACUUUGGAACUGCAUUUUUAACUACCGGGCUAGAGUGUGUCAGAGGGAGGUGGAAUUCCGCGUGUAGCAGUGAAAUGCGUAGAUAUGCGGAGGAACACCGAUGGCGAAGGCAGCCUCCUGGGAUAACACUGACGCUCAUGCACGAAAGCGUGGGGAGCAAACAGGAUUAGAUACCCUGGUAGUCCACGCCCUAAACGAUGUCAACUAGCUGUUGGGGCCUUCGGGCCUUGGUAGCGCAGCUAACGCGUGAAGUUGACCGCCUGGGGAGUACGGUCGCAAGAUUAAAACUUAAAGGAAUUGGCGGG